GACGUAGGAGGCGAGCGUUGUCCGGAUUCAUUGGGCGUAAAGAGCACGCAGGCGGUUUGGCAAGUCGGACGUGAAAAUCCGGGGCUCAACCCCGGACCUGCAUCCGAAACUGCCCGACUAGAGGUAGGUAGGGGAGAUCGGAAUUCCUGGUGUAGCGGUGAAAUGCGCAGAUAUCAGGAGGAACACCGGUGGCGAAGGCGGAUCUCUGGGCCGUAACUGACGCUGAGGAGCGAAAGCAUGGGGAGCGAACAGG
rnacentral:rRNA from 1 species